UUUAAGUGUAGUCACGAGUUUUCGUAUCCAAUUUUGAUCGUCCAUUUUAUUUGAUUUUUUUAUAAUUAGUAUUUUAUUUGUUAUUAGAUGAUAAAAUAUGAAUAGUACUUUAUGCGUAACUUAUGUUUUUAAUUUUUUAAAAGAUUUUCAAAUAAGAUGAACGAAUCAAAUUGGACACGGAAACUUAUGUUCAUGCUUAAA
rfam:Oryza punctata chromosome 5, whole genome shotgun sequence.